rnacentral:rRNA from 1 species
GAACGCUAGCGACAGGCCUAACACAUGCAAGUCGAGGGGCGAGCACAAGGAGCAAUCUGAGGUGGCGACCGGCGCACGGGUGAGUAACACGUAUGCAACCUGCCUGUAAGCGGGGAAUAACCCGUUGAAAGACGGACUAAUACCGCAUAAUACUAAAUUACUGCAUGGUAAUUUAUUUAAACAUUUAUGGCUUACAGAUGGGCAUGCGCAUGAUUAGCUAGUUGGAGAGGUAACGGCUCCCCAAGGCAACGAUCAUUAGGGGUUCUGAGAGGAAGGUCCCCCACACUGGUACUGAGACACGGACCAGACUCCUACGGGAGGCAGCAGUGAGGAAUAUUGGUCAAUGGACGAGAGUCUGAACCAGCCAAGUCGCGUGCAGGAAGAAUGUCCCUAUGGAUUGUAAACUGCUUUUGCAGGGGAAUAAAGUGCAUCACGUGUGAUGUUUUGUAUGUACUCUGCGAAUAAGGAUCGGCUAACUCCGUGCCAGCCGCCGC